UGACUCUCAUGGGUAGA
rnacentral:rRNA from 1 species